rnacentral:rRNA from 1 species
UACGUAGGGUGCGAGCGUUAAUCGGAAUUACUGGGCGUAAAGUGUGCGCAGGCGGCGUCGCAAGUCGAGUGUGAAAUCCCCGGGCUCAACCUGGGAAUUGCGAUGGAGACUGCAAGGCUAGAAUCUGGCAGAGGGGGGUAGAAUUCCACGUGUAGCAGUGAAAUGCGUAGAGAUGUGGAGGAACACCGAUGGCGAAGGCAGCCCCCUGGGUCAAGAUUGACGCUCAUGCACGAAAGCGUGGGGAGCAAACAGG